GCGCCAUUAGCUCAGUUGGUAGAGCAGCUGACUCUUAAUCAGCGGGUCCUAGGUUCGAGCCCUAGAUGGCGUA
rnacentral:tRNA from 1 species